CAGUCGCCGCGGGAAAACGUAGGUCCCGAGCGUUGUCCGGAUUUAUUGGGCGUAAAGCGAGCGCAGGCGGUCAAUUAAGUCUGAUGUGAAAGCCCCCGGCUCAACCGGGGAGGGUCAUUGGAAACUGGUUGACUUGAGUGCAGAAGAGGAGAGUGGAAUUCCAUGUGUAGCGGUGAAAUGCGUAGAUAUAUGGAGGAACACCAGUGGCGAAGGCGACUCUCUGGUCUGUAACUGACGCUGAGGCUCGAAAGCGUGGGUAGCAAACAGGAUUAGAUACCCCCUAGUCCCUGUCUCUAUACAC
rnacentral:rRNA from 1 species